rnacentral:rRNA from 1 species
UACGUAGGGCGCAAGCGUUGUCCGGAAUUAUUGGGCGUAAAGAGCUCGUAGGCGGCUCAGUAAGUCAGGUGUGAAAACUCCAGGCUCAACCUGGAGACGCCACUUGAUACUGCUGUGGCUAGAGUCCGGUAGGGGAGCAUGGAAUUCCUGGUGUAGCGGUGAAAUGCGCAGAUAUCGGGAGGAACACCAAUGGCGAAGGCAGCUCGCUGGGACGGUACUGACGCUGAGACGCGAAAGCGUGGGGAGCAAACAGG